rnacentral:rRNA from 1 species
GACGAACGCUGGCGGCGUGCUUAACACAUGCAAGUCGAGCGGUAAGGCCCUUUCGGGGGUACACGAGCGGCGAACGGGUGAGUAACACGUGGGUGACCUGCCCUCAGCUCUGGGAUAAGCCUGGGAAACCGGGUCUAAUACUGGAUAUGACUCCAUGACGCAUGUUGUGGGGUGGAAAGCCUUGUGCGGCUGAGGAUGGGCCCGCGGCCUAUCAGCUUGUUGGUGGGGUGAGGCCUACCAAGGCGACGACGGGUAGCCGGCCUGAGAGGGCGACCGGCUACACUGGGACUGAGACACGGCCCAGACUCCUACGGGAGGCAGCAGUGGGGAAUCUUGCGCAAUGGGCGAAAGCCUGACGCAGCGACGCCGCGUGAGGGAUG